rnacentral:rRNA from 1 species
AAAUUGAAGAGUUUGAUCAUGGCUCAGAUUGAACGCUGGCGGCAGGCCUAACACAUGCAAGUCGAACGGUAACAGGAAGAAGCUUGCUUCUUUGCUGACGAGUGGCGGACGGGUGAGUAAUAUCUGGGAAACUGCCUGAUGGAGGGGGAUAACUACUGGAAACGGUAGCUAAUACCGCAUAACGUCGCAAGACCAAAGAGGGGGACCUUCGGGCCUCUU